rnacentral:rRNA from 1 species
AUUGAACGCUGGCGGCAUGCCUUACACAUGCAAGUCGAACGGCAGCACGGGAGCAAUCCUGGUGGCGAGUGGCGAACGGGUGAGUAAUAUAUCGGAACGAGCCCAGUCGUGGGGGAUAACGCAGCGAAAGCUGUGCUAAUACCGCAUACGAUCCAUGGAUGAAAGCGGGGGAUCGCAAGACCUCGCGCGAUUGGAGCGGCCGAUAUCAGAUUAGCUAGUUGGUGGGGUAAAAGCCCACCAAGGCGACGAUCUGUAGCUGGUCUGAGAGGACGACCAGCCACACUGGAACUGAGACACGGUCCAGACUCCUACGGGAGGCAGCAGUGGGGAAUUUUGGACAAUGGGCGCAAGCCUGAUCCAGCAAUGCCGCGUGCAGGAUGAAGGCCUUCGGGUUGUAAACUGCUUUUGUACGGAACGAAACGGCGAGCUCUAAUAAAGUUUGCUAAUGACGGUACCGUAAGAAUAAGCACCGGCUAACUACGUGCCAGCCGCCGCGGUAA